GUUCUCUUAGUAUAUCGUAUAUUUGGCUUCCAACCAAAAGGUCUAACGAACGUUAGAGAGAAUA
rnacentral:tRNA from 1 species